GACGAACGCUGGCGGCAUGCCUAAUACAUGCAAGUCGAGCGGAGUUGACGAGAAGCUUGCUUCUCUGAUGCUUAGCGGCGGACGGGUGAGUAACACGUAGGCAACCUGCCUUUCAGACUGGGAUAACUUCCGGAAACGGAUGCUAAUACCGGAUACAUCGUUUCUUCGCAUGAAGAGACGAGGAAAGACGGCGCAAGCUGUCACUGAGAGAUGGGCCUGCGGCGCAUUAGCUAGUUGGUGGGGUAAUGGCCCACCAAGGCGACGAUGCGUAGCCGACCUGAGAGGGUGAACGGCCACACUGGGACUGAGACACGGCCCAGACUCCUACGGGAGGCAGCAGUAGGGAAUCUUCCACAAUGGGCGAAAGCCUGAUGGAGCAAUGCCGCGUGAGUGAUGAAGGUUUUCGGAUCGUAAAGCUCUGUUGCCCAGGGAAGAACGUUUUCGUAGAAU
rnacentral:rRNA from 1 species